GCCGCCGUAGACCAACGGUAGGAGUCAACGUUCUCAGAAAGCGUGCAGUGGUGGUUCGAAUCCACUCGGCGGCA
rnacentral:tRNA from 2 species